UACGUAGGGCGCAAGCGUUGUCCGGAAUUAUUGGGCGUAAAGAGCUCGUAGGCGGCUUGUCACGUCGGGUGUGAAAGCCCGGGGCUUAACCCCGGGUCUGCAUUCGAUACGGGCAGGCUAGAGUGUGGUAGGGGAGAUCGGAAUUCCUGGUGUAGCGGUGAAAUGCGCAGAUAUCAGGAGGAACACCGGUGGCGAAGGCGGAUCUCUGGGCCAUUACUGACGCUGAGGCGCGAAAGCUAGGGGAGCAAACGGG
rnacentral:rRNA from 1 species